GCAGUCGUGGCUCGAAUGGAUAGGCACCUCCCUUCUAAGGAGAAUCAUGUGGGUUCGAAUCCUACCGGCUGUACCA
rnacentral:tRNA from 1 species